AGCGUACACGGUGGAUGCCCUGGCAGUCAGAGGCGAUGAAGGACGUGCUAAUCUGCGAAAAGCGCCGGCGAGGUGAUAUGAACCUUUGACCCGGCGAUGUCCGAAUGGGGAAACCCAGUGCAAUCCGUUGCACUAUCGUUAACUGAAUACAUAGGUUAACGAGGCGAACCGGGGGAACUGAAACAUCUAAGUACCCCGAGGAAAAGAAAUCAACCGAGAUUCCCCCAGUAGCGGCGAGCGAACGGGGAGCAGCCCGGAGUCUGAAUCAGCUUGUGUGUUAGUGGAACGGUCUGGAAAGUCCGACGGUACAGGGUGAUAGUCCCGUACACGAAAGCACACAUGCUGUGAACUCGAAGAGUAGGGCGGGACACGUGGUAUCCUGUCUGAAUAUGGGGGGACCAUCCUCCAAGGCUAAAUACUCCUGACUGACCGAUAGUGAACCAGUACCGUGAGGGAAAGGCGAAAAGAACCCCGGCGAGGGGAGUGAAAAAGAACCUGAAACCGUGUACGUACAAGCAGUGGGAGCCUCUUUAUGGGGUGACUGCGUACCUUUUGUAUAAUGGGUCAGCGACUUAUAUUCUGUAGCAAGGUUAACCGUAUAGGGGAGCCGAAGGGAAACCGAGUCUUAACUGGGCGUUAAGUUGCAGGGUAUAGACCCGAAACCCGGUGAUCUAGCCAUGGGCAGGUUGAAGGUUGGGUAACACUAACUGGAGGACCGAACCGACUAAUGUUGAAAAAUUAGCGGAUGACCUGUGGCUGGGGGUGAAAGGCCAAUCAAACCGGGAGAUAGCUGGUUCUCCCCGAAAGCUAUUUAGGUAGCGCCUCGUGAACUCAUCUUCGGGGGUAGAGCACUGUUUCGGCUAGGGGGCCAUCCCGGCUUACCAACCCGAUGCAAACUACGAAUACCGAAGAAUGUUAUCACGGGAGACACACGGCGGGUGCUAACGUCCGUCGUGAAGAGGGAAACAACCCAGACCGCCAGCUAAGGUCCCAAAGUCAUGGUUAAGUGGGAAACGAUGUGGGAAGGCACAGACAGCCAGGAUGUUGGCUUAGAAGCAGCCAUCAUUUAAAGAAAGCGUAAUAGCUCACUGGUCGAGUCGGCCUGCGCGGAAGAUGUAACGGGGCUAAACCAUGCACCGAAGCUGCGGCAGCGACGCUUAGGCGUUGUUGGGUAGGGGAGCGUUCUGUAAGCCGUUGAAGGUGUCCUGUGAGGGGUGCUGGAGGUAUCAGAAGUGCGAAUGCUGACAUAAGUAACGAUAAAGCGGGUGAAAAGCCCGCUCGCCGGAAGACCAAGGGUUCCUGUCCAACGUUAAUCGGGGCAGGGUGAGUCGACCCCUAAGGCGAGGCCGAAAGGCGUAGUCGAUGGGAAACAGGUUAAUAUUCCUGUACUUGGUGUUACUGCGAAGGGGGGACGGAGAAGGCUAUGUCAGCCGGGCGACGGUUGUCCCGGUUUAAGCAUGUAGGCGGAGGUUCCAGGUAAAUCCGGUACCUUAUUAACGCUGAGGUGUGAUGACGAGGCACUACGGUGCUGAAGUGAUAAAUGCCCUGCUUCCAGGAAAAGCCUCUAAGCAUCAGGUAACACGAAAUCGUACCCCAAACCGACACAGGUGGUCAGGUAGAGAAUACCAAGGCGCUUGAGAGAACUCGGGUGAAGGAACUAGGCAAAAUGGUGCCGUAACUUCGGGAGAAGGCACGCUGAUAUGUAGGUGAAGCCCCUGCGGGCGGAGCUGAAAUCAGUCGAAGAUACCAGCUGGCUGCAACUGUUUAUUAAAAACACAGCACUGUGCAAACACGAAAGUGGACGUAUACGGUGUGACGCCUGCCCGGUGCCGGAAGGUUAAUUGAUGGGGUUAGCGGCAACGCGAAGCUCUUGAUCGAAGCCCCGGUAAACGGCGGCCGUAACUAUAACGGUCCUAAGGUAGCGAAAUUCCUUGUCGGGUAAGUUCCGACCUGCACGAAUGGCGUAAUGAUGGCCAGGCUGUCUCCACCCGAGACUCAGUGAAAUUGAACUCGCUGUGAAGAUGCAGUGUACCCGCGGCAAGACGGAAAGACCCCGUGAACCUUUACUAUAGCUUGACACUGAACACUGGUCCUUGAUGUGUAGGAUAGGUGGGAGGCUUUGAAGCGUGGACGCCAGUCUGCGUGGAGCCAACCUUGAAAUACCACCCUUUAAUGGCUGGUGUUCUAACGUAGACCCGUAAUCCGGGUUGCGGACAGUGUCUGGUGGGUAGUUUGACUGGGGCGGUCUCCUCCCAAAGAGUAACGGAGGAGCACGAAGGUUGGCUAAUCCUGGUCGGACAUCAGGAGGUUAGUGCAAUGGCAUAAGCCAGCUUGACUGCGAGCGUGACGGCGCGAGCAGGUGCGAAAGCAGGUCAUAGUGAUCCGGUGGUUCUGAAUGGAAGGGCCAUCGCUCAACGGAUAAAAGGUACUCCGGGGAUAACAGGCUGAUACCGCCCAAGAGUUCAUAUCGACGGCGGUGUUUGGCACCUCGAUGUCGGCUCAUCACAUCCUGGGGCUGAAGUAGGUCCCAAGGGUAUGGCUGUUCGCCAUUUAAAGUGGUACGCGAGCUGGGUUUAGAACGUCGUGAGACAGUUCGGUCCCUAUCUGCCGUGGGCGCUGGAGAAUUGAGGGGGGCUGCUCCUAGUACGAGAGGACCGGAGUGGACGCAUCACUGGUGUUCGGGUUGUCAUGCCAAUGGCACUGCCCGGUAGCUAAAUGCGGAAGAGAUAAGUGCUGAAAGCAUCUAAGCACGAAACUUGCCCCGAGAUGAGUUCUCCCUGAGACCUUGA
rnacentral:rRNA from 1 species